GACGAACGCUGGCGGCGUGCUUAACACAUGCAAGUCGAACGGAAAGGCCCUGCUUUUGUGGGGUGCUCGAGUGGCGAACGGGUGAGUAACACGUGAGUAACCUGCCCUUGACUUUGGGAUAACUUCAGGAAACUGGGGCUAAUACCGGAUAGGAGCUCCUGCUGCAUGGUGGGGGUUGGAAAGUUUCGGCGGUUGGGGAUGGACUCGCGGCUUAUCAGCUUGUUGGUGGGGUAGUGGCUUACCAAGGCUUUGACGGGUAGCCGGCCUGAGAGGGUGACCGGCCAAAUUGGGAAUGGGAAAAGGCCCAGACUCCGACGGGAGGCAGAAGGGGGGAAAAUUGAAAAAGGGGGGGAAGCCGGAUGCAGAAACGCCGGGGGGGGGAUGACGGCCUUGGGGUUGUAAACCGUUUUCGCCUGGGACGAAGGGGGAGGGACGGUAAUGGGUAAAGAAGCACCGGCUAAAUACGG
rnacentral:rRNA from 1 species